UACGUGAUGCUGAUAGCCUCACAGAAGAAAAGGUAGAUCAGGUGGUGAAUGAAUUUCUCAAAGAUUUCACAGAGAAAUCAACAGAAUCCAAAGGAUGGCCAAGUUACUUCACAGCCUACAAAGUCUCAAAAGCAUCGUUGAUUGCCUACACAAGAGUUUUAGCUACCAAAUAUCCGAAUUUUCGAAUAAACUCUGUAUGUCCUGGCUAUUGCAAAACAGACGUAAAUGCAAAUACUGGAAGCUUAACUGCUGGAGAAGGUGCUGAGAGCUUGGUGAAUCUUGCUUUGCUUCCAAACGAUGGACCUUCUGGCCUUUUCUUUUACAGAAAGGAGGUCACUUUUUUUUGAGCAUUGUUAGAUCCACAAAAUUGGUUUGCGUAUUUGGCAGAAUUGAAUCGUUUUCUAUCAGUUUUAUAGACAUUGCAAGAAUAAGAUGGAUAUAUAUUUCUUUUAAGUUACCCUAAUUUUAUCGUUUUAAUUAUGAAUUAUUCACUACUGUUAUUUUGGAGAUAAUGUCUAUGUUUGCCCUUUAAUUACGAGGAAAGCACAGAAACGACACUACUUCAAAUUAAACUAUUUCUAUGAAAAUGGUCAUGGAAUUUAAAUUUCAUUUUCUAGUCAUUUCAAUUUACUGGCUUGUUCUAUACCGUUUCUACACAUCUUUUAUACCGUUUCUAUAUAAAUUUUAUACAUAUAAAUAUUCUAUACAAAAAUUAUACAGUUUUGAUACACAAUUUAUAUAAUAACUGUAUAUUUUUUUUACACGUUUUAUACAACAAUUGUAUAAUUUUCAUACACUUUCUAUAUAUAUUUUUUUAUAUAUUUUAUACAUAUAUAUAUUUGAUAGAACCAUACAAUUUUUAUACAUAUAUCUUGUAUAGAUACAUAUUCUAUUUAACAAUUAUAUCAUUUUUAUAUAAUUUAAUUAUUAUUUCUAAACAAUUAAAAAAAAAGCAGAAUAUUUUAUCAGUUAAAAAAAUAUAGCAAAAAAAAUUAAAAUAUUUUUAAAAGGAUCGAAUUAUCCAAGUUGAAUAUUGUAUUAGUAUUGUAUAUAAACUAUAUCAGUAUUGUAGAUGGAUUACGUGGGCCAAAAUGACCCAAAUUGGGAAAGAAUAGAAAAUGGUCAUAAAGUAGCUUUUUUUACCCGACUAGAUAUUAUAUGUUCAUAUGCCCAAACUUGGACUAUUAUUUUUUAAAAAGGUUACACAAUAUUCUUUUCCUUUUAAUUAAAGGAUGUGCAUUUCUACUUAUUUACGAGUAUUUUGUUGAUUUUUUCAGAUAUGGCUUAUUAAAUCAUCUUAAUAUACUCCUACUAUUUCAUAUAUGCUACUAGGGAUUAUAGCUUAUUUAUACUGAACACCACCAAUAAUAUGAUUUUAGUUUCGAAUAAACUCUUUGUAUUUAAAAUUUAAAACUUACACCUUAUAUAUAAAACUUACAAUUACGUUGAAUUGUCGCCUAUUUGUAAUUAUAAUUACGAUCACGCGUAGAACUUAAAACGUAUACCACAUAAUAUAAUUAAAAUGUUACUUCCUAUACUCGUCUUAGAUUUAUCAUAAUUAAGUGGCCAUCAAAUUAACUACUAGACCAAUCUUUUUACUACAUUGACUAAAAAUUUUAUGUGCAACUUGAUUUGGAUAUUGAGUUAACCAUGAAAAAUGGCCUGAGGUUUCUGCUGUAGUCAACAAACCAGAACAAGUCCUCUUUUAUCUUGAAAUUUACUCCCUCCGUUCACCAUACUAAACAUAGAUGUCCACUUUUACUUGUCCAGUUUAGAAAAUCAAGUGAUACAUCAUCACUUAUUUUCUAAUUUACUCUUAUUUUAUUAGCUAGUUAUUUCUCAAAAACGUUGAAUUUAUUAUAUACAAAGAGUGAUGUGAUAAAAUCGUCAUUCUAUUUAUUUUUUCUUAAGGGGUGUAUCAACUUGAUACUGGACAAGUGAAAAGAAGACGAAGAGAGUAUUAAAUAGAUUCUAAAUCAAGAAAGAUGAUCAGUAGCCAUAAUGGUAAGUUCUUUGCAGCUUUACCACAUACAUGUACGUUGUCGGUGUAUUUUUCAUUUUAGUGUGAUUUAACUUUUCAUUUUUUAGACUUAUACAUGCUUUGCCCAGCAAAAUGGUAAGUUCUAAAAUUGAUUUUGAAUAAAAGUUUGAAACCACUCAGAUCUGCAUUUUCUUAACAGUUUUGUCCCAACGAGACGUAGUGGCGACGAGUUGAUGUGUUUAGAUGUGUAUUCUCAAAGUUGGAGUGUUUAAUUUUUAGUUAAGGUCAAGUUAAAGGUAUCUAUUUAUUUAUUAGGCCUUAACUUAAAAAAGAUUUACUUGUUUAGUCUUUUAGCAAUUAAAAUAAGAUUAACAGACCCUGAGGAAGUCCUAACAGUAGUAGAGAUUGAUACAAAUACAUGAUCUGGUUUUAGUGUUGUCAAUUUUCUGUUUCUCAUUAAACUAUGAAGGGUAUGUUCAAUAGAAGAGGUGAUAAAUCGGACUUCAAAGAAGAUUAUGUUCAAGGAAAGGGCUGGCCUUCUCUCAUGUCAGCUUACAUACUCUCUAAAGCAGCCAUGAACGCUUACUCGAGGAUCAUGGCAAAUAAGCAUCCAUCUAUACAGAUCAAUUGUGUCUGCCCUGGUUUUCUGAAAACGAAUAUCUAUUACAAUCGUGGGAUAUCUUUGUUGGACAAUAAAAUUUCGAGUCGGAAAAAUAAAUAAUUCGAGAUAAAAAAAUAUUGCAACAAUCAAUUUAUUGAUUUCAAUGUGUGAGUGUUACAAUCUCUGUAAAUCCUUUGAUAUAAAUUGAAGGGCUUAAACAUUGAUAUUGAGUUUAAACUUGAUUUGUUGAUUUGAGGACUUGAUCUUGACUUGUGUUUGUGGGAGGGCUUUUAACCUUAUUCUUGUAUAUUGCGGUCUAGAUUUUGAAUCUGUCUUUUCAAAUAUAAAUUCAAGGGUUUAAGUGCUUUUGAGCUUGUUCUUGAAUAUUGCGGUUUAGAUCUUGAAUCUUGAUGAACUUUGAAUGCUUGAGUUUUUUUUAGAGAAAUUGUGGCGUUUGAACCAUGAGCUUUCUCUUGCUACGUGUUAGAGUUCUUGAUUUUUUUUUUUUUGAAUUAUGAAACCCUUAUUUAUAGUUAUGAAAAAGGAAAAGGAAGAGUAAGAUGAACUUACUUUGACCAAUUAGACUUGAGUGACGUGACGUCUUUUAUAGGCUUUGAUUUCAUGGGCCUGUUGCAUCAUUUUGACAUGUGGCAUGAUCCUAUUGGAUCCUUCCCUUGACUUGGCAUGUCACGUCAUUUGACACGUGACGCUUAUUUGAGCCAUUAGAAUAUGAUAAUACCUUGGGUUUUAGCAAAAUGGGCUCUUCAUUUUCUAGCUCAAAUCAAUAGGCUUACCCCAUAAAAAUUGGAUUCUAAUUAAAUCCAUAUAUAUUUGGACUUAAAUAAUUAAUCCAAUUAUAGUAAUUCGUAAUAUUUAUUUAGAACUAAUAUAUUUUGAAUUUAAUAUAAUUUGAAUUUUGUACGAAUUUAAAUUUAAUAAAAUUACAUCGCCCACAAAUGUCCAACUUCAAGAUUUAUCAAAAUAUUUAAUUUUUCUUGGAAAUUAAUCUUAUAGUAUUAUAAAUAUUUAAUUUUUCUUGGAAAUCAAUCUUAUAGUAUUAAGUUUGAUUAUCACGAACCAAUAUAUAUAUCCAAAAAGAAAAAUAUUCAACCUGAAUUAAAUAUAUAUAUUUUUUAUUUGUGAAAUCAAUUCACGUGUAUAUGAAAUCAAAAUGGUUGACUUUGGCAUUUAACUGCUUAUGUCACCCUUUUGUUUUUCUUAUUAAUGUGGAACCUAUAUAAUCUUCUUUUUUCAAUGAAUAUGACCCUAUUUCCCUUUCUUUUGGUUUAAUAAAGUCGGCUGCUGCUAGCCAUUUUCCUUCUCCCAAUGAAAUUCUAACAAGUUUUUCAUCAACUUUUUAAGGACAAGUUUACCCUGUAAUUUUUUAUUAUUUAAACGUAAAUGAUUUUGUCUAUUAUGAAGUACAAAAAGUUUAAAUUACUUCUCAAAAUUCCUUGAUACUUUACUAUAUUAAUGUAAACAUAUCACACAUCAAUCAACAAAAUUAUAUUUAAGAAGAUGAAAUUAUUAAAAGUAACUAUUGACGGUAAAAAUGUUAUGUUUGUUUUAAUGAUUUAAAUAAAUAUUAUAUUUGUGAUAUCUCGCCUUACUUUUUUUUAAUUGUUAAUUUAUGAUCUUUUCCGUCGCUUUGACUGUUUAAUAAUAUCAAAAAAGUUAUAUUGUCCAUAUUGAUAAUUUUCUUUAAAAUGCAACACAAAUUUAUCCAAACAUAUGAUUAUCCGUGUGAAACACAUAGAGGAAGAGUAAUUUGACUAUUAUUUUAUAUAAUUAUCUUUUAAUAAAAUUUGAGUACAUUUUGGGGACAUUUGAUUUUGUAGUCGUUUAAAAUAAUUAAUAAAUAAUUUAUGUGAUGAAAAAAAAAAUUAUCCAUAAACAGAGACGGACCCACGUGGUUAUGCCAAGGUGCACGUGCAACCGAUAACUUUUUUAAAAAAUCGUAUAUAUAUGUAUAGAUAUCCUACUAAAGAGUUAAUAUAUUUAAUUGUGCACCCUUAAUAACCAAAUAUGUCUGGGUGCACUGAUUCGGAACUCAAAUGCUAGCAUCAUUUGGGUCUCAAUGUUGCGGGUUUGAUUCCUGAUGGAUACCUCUUUUUUAUCAUUUACGACACCUCAGCUGGCCCCACACCACCUUUAAUUUAUAUCUAGAAAAUAAAUAUUCCCCAAUCCCAAUACCCAAUUUCCAUAUUCCCCCCACCCCCACCCCCCUCCCCCUCCCCAAAUUUCAAGCUUUAUUCGAUGUUUUCCAAAUUCCCCCAAAAGCCAAACUUCCUAGAAAGUGAAAACUUGAAUUUAGAAGGUUACAAGGAGCAAUUUUAAUUCUCCAUUUGAUGCUAACAACUAUACAUCUCUUCCUUUUGUUUUUUUAUUUUUUUAAUUUAAGUUUGGUAAUAUUAAAUUAUAAAUGCACUAAUCUAUUUAUAAGGAGGUAAGGUUUAUAUAUUACCCUAAAAUCCAUAUUUGUCCUAUAUAUUUAUAUUUUUAUCAUUGCUUAAGCCUUCACGACACUAUUCCUCAGCUGCCAGUGGAAGAUUCUCGAACGCUUAUGUUAUGAUAAAGUGCACCCGCACUCUUCAAAUUCUGGGUUCGCCUCUGCCCAUAGAUACGGGUGUGCAACAAUCUGUUUGGGUUGGAUUUAUGUAUUAUUGAUUCAGUUUAUUGAUUUUCGAUUUUAAAUAUACUAAAUCAAUAAUCAAAUUGAUAAGAUUUUUGUAACGAUUUUGAUUUUUUUUUUGUCCUUAACAGUUCAAUUCUUGGUUUGACCAAUCAGAAAUGUCAAUUGUGGUUUGCAAAGCAAUGAAGGCAUUAAUAAUAUUAGAAGAAUGUAUGUCACCAAAACAGAAUCAAUAAGUCGAUUAUUUUCUUUAUAAAAUCAUUAAAAAAUUGUUGACCCAAAAAUUCAAUAAUAAUAAAGCAAUAACAUUUUUUUGCACCAUCUCUACGGGCUCUACCCAUACAAGAAUGAUAUUUUACUUGUGAUAUAAUAAUAAUAAUAAUAAUAAUAAUAAUAAUAAUAAUAAUAAUAAUAAUAAUAAUAAUAAUAAUAAUAAUAAUAAUAAUAAAAAGGCUUACUAAUCUAAAUAACUAAAAACAAAGGAAGACAUUAGAACUCGAAAAAAACAACAUAAAAUUUUAAUGAGUGAAUAAAAGAAUAAUAUCGCAGAUCAAGAAAAUAUAUUAGCUUUAUUUAUUUUUGCCUACACAUAAUUUGACUACAAAGUAAGACAAACAACAUCAAAAUUGAGAGCAAUAGACACAAAGUAUAGAUAUAAGGAAUUAGGACAUCUUUUAAGAAACUAUAAACUCUCCAUCAUCGUUCAUGUAAUUUAAAAACUUAGUCUAAAAUAAGUUCAAAGGUGAACUUGACCUUUUGCUUGAUCAGGAUCAGUAAUUUCGUGCACCGAUAUAUCUACCAAAGCCCCGAUAAUAACAUACUCAUUCUAGAAUUAAAAAAUAAGUUCAGGUAUAACUAAUAGUAAUGUAGUCGAUUUAAGUAAUUCACAUACCUUCUUUCCAUCGUUAGAAAUAGAUUUGUCAUCUCUUUCUAGUUUCUCUUUCAAAUCCUCUGCAUGUAAACACGAAUACACGUUUAAUAUAUAUCACAAUCUUUCUAAUACACACACAUAUAACGAAAUUUUAAGUGAUUUGAAAUUCCAAACUAUUAGGUACAACUUGCAAUUAGAACUUUCACAUAUAUUUUCACAAAGUAGCUCUGGUAGAGAAGUUGGUUUCAGUAAAGACCCUUGAUUAAUGGCUCAAAUAAUCAAAGUUCAAACGCCAUAACUACAAAGAAGACACACAAAACACAAUAACUAAAAUACGUAUAACAUCCAUAGCAAGAAAAAACCUAAGCAGUGAAUUAUAACCUCACAUCGAACUUCAACCAAUGUUUUGUCAUACUCCAACUAAAAAGAAUAGCUGCUAUAUUAAGUUUAAGAAAUAAUUAGAUGAAAACAUGAUCAAGAAUAAAAAAUAAGAAAUUUGAUAAAAUUUUGUCGAUGUAAUGACUUAAGAACAGAAUACUUAAUAAUAAAUUGAACUCAAUAUAUACCAUAAGAAUUAACAUAGAAAAAGAGUACGUGCAACAAAACAAAUCAUUACAAACUAUAAGGCAUAAAUAAAUCACGUUAGAAAAUAUAAAUAAACUUUUAAAAAAAUCAAUAAGCUAUAACAAAGCAUGAAAAUUCUUUAUAUAGCAACUGUUUAGUAUCCUAGUUCACAUGAAAAAUUAGAAAAUUCUUCAAAAUUGAAUUUAAGGCAAAAUUAUACUGGAGUUUAAUUGAGACGAAGUAAAUCAAUUACUAAUUGAUUAAUUGAAUAGAGAGAAAGAAAGACAAAGUGGAGAAUAUAUAGAAAUUGAGUUAAGCUGAGUAUCCUAUAAUGUCACGGUUUCUAUUUGAGUCCUGUAGUUUAAUAAGGAAAGGUUUUAAUAUAAGUAUUUAAUUAAUUUUUAAUUUUUAAAUAUUAAAAAUAAGUGAAAAGACGAUUUUGUCUAAAGUAUAAACUUUUAAUGAAGGGUAAAAAGUUCAAACAAUAUUUCUAAGGCCCUUCAUAGUUUUAAUAUAUUAUAGAUAUAGAUUAGAUAAUGUACACCGCCCUUUUGUUCCUAUAAAUACGUCACAUAUUUUUUCCAUGCAAAGCAUCAACUUGUAAAAUUCUUUAGAGACGCCUCUUUUUCGAGCUUCAAGAAUAAUAUUGAGGUAUUUUUUUUGUAGGACUGAAACAAAUAGCAAUAUACAACAAUUGACCGGCUUAAGGUGCGAGAGUUUAACUUCGUCUCCGUUACUUUAGGUCCGAACAAUUUUACUUGAAGACGGUGUAUAUCGGCUUAAGGUGCGAGAGUUUAACUUCGCCUCCGUCACUUUAACUCUGAACAAUUUUACUUGAAGACGGUGGACAUCGGCUUAAGGUGCGAGAGUUUAACUUCGCAUCCGUCACUUUAAGUCCAAAAAAUUUAACUUCGCAUCUGUUUAUUAAUCUAUAGGAUUGAACGUUUAGAAAUCACCUAUAUAUGGGCGAAGUGGAAGCUGCUUCAAAGAGAAUGUUAGUAAAGGCCUAUUCUCUAAGCUCUCAUGAAAACCGAGACGUGUUCAUGACUGAAAAGAAUAAAACUGUAAGAACCAUAAACGGUAAAAGGCUGGUUGUGUGACAUGUGUUGUCUAGGUGUACAUUAAAGCUUGAUGGUUCAAAGAUAUCAAAUCUAUCGAUUGACCGAGUACAUCCGAUGCAUGUUCACUACGGAAAGUUCAAAGGGAAACCCACUUAUCCAGAUGCAAUCAGUCUUUGCUUUAUGAUCACAUACUUGUCCGUAAAAGUUUUACAAAAAAUAGCCAUUCCCCAUUCAUGUGGGGGAUUGUUGGGUUCAUAGUAAUGAAAGUUUGUUGAAUGAAAAAUGGAGAAAUCAAGUGGAAGAGAAAAAUUGAGUUAACACCAAAAAUGGAAAGUGUACCAAUUUUGGCAAGUUUACUCUUUCUCCCACAUUAGUGGAAGAAGAGAACUUGAGAGUGUUUAUAAUGAGAAACACUUAUUCCACAUGGUAAGUGAAGCAAGGAAAUAGAGAUGCCUCGCGCCGUCGUCGUCGCUCGCUCGACUCGGCUUCGGAUUUGGAUCGAUCGAUGAGAUUUUUCUUUUUGAACAAAUUUUAUUUGACAAAAUCUGAACAAUGAUGAAAAACGCAGGAAAUAUUUCUGAGUUUUAAUCUUCCAUUUACAUGCAGUGACGCGAUGCUACUAUUUUACGUGAACAGUGACGCAGAACAGUUGCACUACUUCGGAAAUAUUGCAUUGCUUCAGAACUGGUGCACUGGUUUCUGUUAUUGAACUGAUGCACUGGUUGAAUAAACAGAUGCAACCAUUCAGCAAAAGACACACUGAUUCAUGGAAAGAUAUGAUUGUUCAUGAAAGGAUGGAAUCUUUGAUGAACAGACAUGAAUUUACAGCAAAGGUAGAACCUUUGGAGUGAACCAUUGCCUCCUUUCUAAAGAGGCAUCAUUUGGCUAUAAAUAACCUGAUUUUCAUCCCCAGGUUAGAGAUAGAAAACAUAGAAAUUUUCAGAUUACAAAACAUUCUUCUUGUCUUAAAAAUACUCUAAGUGUGAUCAUUCAAACCGUGAGUGUGUUCUAAGAAUCCGCCUAUUUGAGGUACCGCUAUAGUCGGAUUGAAGGUCAUUUUAUCCUGGGAGGAAGAUUCCAUAACCUCGAGUACAGUGAGGGGAAUUAUUCCUUAAGGAAAAUCCGUGAAUUCGAACUACUUGGCCUUAAUCAUUUCUGUUUCAUCUUUAUUUUCUGAAAAAUAAAUACACCUCUUGGAAAGGUCUUUUUGAUCUUGUGUUGAGGGUAUUUAAUACUUCAUUGUGUUCUUGUUCAUACUUGAACUCGAGUUGAAGUUGUUGUUCUGUUAUACAGAUUCUACGUACCCAUAUUGUGGAAAAUAACAUCAAAAGCAUCCUUAAUUGCCUACACAAGAGUUUUAGCUACCAACUAUCCGAAUUUUCGAAUAAACUCUUUAUGUCCUGGCUAAUGCAAAACAGACGUAAACGAAAAUACUGGAAGCUUAACUGCAGGAGAAGGUGCUAAGAGCUUGGUGAAUCUUUCUUUGUUGCCAAAUGAUGGACCUUCUGGCCUUUUCUUUUACAGAAAGGAGGUCACAUCUUUUUGAACAUUGAUUGAUCAACAAAAUUGAUUUGCGUGUUUGGCAGAAUCCAAUCGUUUCCUAUCAGUUUUAUAUACAUCGCAAGAAUAAGAUGGAGAUACAUUUUAAAACUCACUCGAAUUUUAUUGUUUAAAUCCUGAAUUAUUUACUGCUGCUAUUUUGGGAUAGUGUCUGUGUUUGCCCUUUUAAUUAAAGGAUGUGAAUUCCUACUUCCUUAUUUAUGAGUAUUUUGUUGAUUUUUUUCCAGAUAUGGCUUCUUAAUCAUCUGAAUAUACUCUACAAUUUCAUAUAUGCUACUAGGGAUUAUAACUUCAUUCUACUAAACACCACCAAUGAUGUGAUUUAGUUUGGAAUAAACUCUUUGUAUUUAAAAUUUUAAAACUUAUACCUUAUAUAUAACUUAAAAUUACGUGGAACUGUCAUUUACUGAUAAUUAUAAUUACCGUCAUGCGUAUAACUUAAAAUGUAUAUCAUAAUGUAAUUAAAAUGUGACCUCCUAUACUCGACUCAGAUUUAUCAUAAUUAAGUGGCCCUCAAAUUAACUACUAGACCAAUCUUUUUACUACAUUUUUAAAACGUUAACCUACAAACAACAAUAUUCACAAAUCAAAAAAUUAAAAAAAGAAAUAAAAUCAUGAAGAACUUCUAAACUCUAGACGUUCCCAAGACAAUUUGUAUGUUGUGAAGUAAAUCUGAUGUAAUUUGCGGUAAGUUUUUUUUUUUUUUUUUUCUUUGCAAUCAGAAAUCUAUAUUGUUUUUUUUCCUGAAACUAUUAAUUGAGAAGUAAAAGGAACAAGUGAGACCCAAGUUGUGAGUUAUCACUGUAAAAUGUCAUAUUUGUCAAAAUAUAUUUUCGGAACUAAACAUAACUGUCAAAACAUAGGUUAAAUUAAAAGUUUAAAAUUCAAAUUCAAAACAAAAUUGCAGGAAGUUUUUCAGUGAAUUAACAUCUAUUUUUGUACUCUUAAAUUAAAACUGAAAUAAACUAAAAGAGAAAUAAUUUUUUGAAGUUUUUUUAAAACGUAGGAGGAAGUUUAGUAUACAGUUUGUGUGACUUUUGCAUUUUUUAAAUUGUUUUUAUAUUAAUAUUUAAUUUUUAAUGUCUAAUGAUAAAUACUUGAAAAUAUUAUUUUAAUAUUUAUUUUUAAUUUUUUUUAAUGAUAAAUGAUGAUUUUUGUGGUGCUGACAUGUGACAGUUUUUGCUUCUGUGAUUAGAUAUAGCUAGUUAACGGACCCGCGCGUAAUCUUAAAAUAUAUCAAUACUAAUCUAAGAUGUUGAUUAAUAUAAGAUUAUAAAAUCAUAUUAAAUUAAAUAAGUGCUAUUUAUACUAUAAAAUGUUAUAUGCUAUAAAAUAUUUAUUAGUUCAAUAUUUAUUAUUAUUAAAUUAUUUUUAAAAGGAUAAAAUAACUGAAAUGAAAAGAUAUAGGUCAUUUAACUAUUAUUGUAAUAGUUUUUAUAAAAAAAAUUUAAAGAUUCAUACACUCAAACAUUUAAUAGUUAUUAUUCUAAAUAGAACUGAACACAAAUUAUAUAUUAUUAAACAAUUUGUCAAGUAUACUACCUUAUUUCAUUAUUUUUUAAAUUUGCUUAUAAUGUAGUAUUUAUCUUGUAUUAUAUUAAUUUUUAAAAUAAUUUAAAAAUAAAAAAUAUUUAAUAAUCAAAAAAUUAAUUUGAACCCUAAUGAAAUAACUUAUAAUCAUAAAUAAAUAAAUAAAUUAUAUUAGACUAUAAAUUGUAAAAAUACUCAUAAUUUUUAGAAAAAUGUGGACUUAAAAAAUAGGAAGUACAAUUUGCAAAAUCUAUUUGAAUUAAUAGUAGGAAAUAUAUACUAUGUGGCCAAAAAUAGGAUUGGAUAAAGGAGUGAUCCAAUAGAAGUAAAGUACAAAUCGAAAAAAGGGAAGUAAAGAGCUACCUACAUUUUGACUCUAGAAAGUUCAUCUUCUCUCCAAUUUUCACCUAGUUUUCUCCAUUAAAAUUUUACAAUUUAAAGUUAAUAUUAAUGAUUUUGCGUUUUAAGUUUGCUUUUAGUGUAGAUAUCUGCGGAAUGCGUUGGUGACAUUAAAAUGUGUAUAUAAUAAUUUGAGAUAUCAAUUAUAAUAUAAGAUUUUAAAAUCAUACUAAAUAAAUAAGUGCUAAUUAUAAUAUAAAAUGUUACUAUAUGAUUUUAAAAUUUUAUUAAUUCAAUAUUUGUUAGUAUUCAAACAUUUUAAAAAGAGUUAAGUAAUUAAAAUAUAUUGGUCCCUUUUUAAGAAUGUUUAUAAUGUUGUAUUUACUUUAAAAGUAGGUUUAAAACAAAAAAGUAUAUUUAGUAGCAAUAACGCUAAAAUUUUAAUUUAACAUCUAAUGUAAUGAUUUAUAGACACAAAAAAAUAAAUAAAUUAUAUUAAAAUAUAAAUAUUAAAUGUUCUCGUAUCUUUUCUUAAUUAUGGAUUUUUUGUAAAAAAAAAUAGUUCACAAUUAUUAUUGAUAAUAUUUAAUAAAGAAGUGAAAAUUUUAUAGAAAAAUGAACGAUUGUCAAAAAGUUGAUUGGAUAACAAAUUGGUGCAAUAGUAAGUAAAGUACAAAUAAAGCAAAACGAAAGUAAACUACUCUACAUGCUGAAUCUAGAAAUUUCUCUAUCAUCUACUUUCCUAAAAAAACACCUAGAAAUUUCUGUCUCAUCAACUUUCUAAAAAAUCACCUAGUUUUCUCCGGCAAUAUCUACCAAUGAGGAAUUCAUUGAAGUGUUGAGAACUAUGAUUUGCUUUGUAGUUUAUUUAGUAUGAAAUAUUGAGCAUUUGUUACGAAAUACUAAAACAAACAUGCUUCUGUACACUCCCCUUUUUAUUGGUGUAUUGUCCAUGAUUUUUAAUGUAGAACUACGGUAUUGCUAAGUAUUUAACCCCUUAUACUCCCUUAAAAGGAGGAAAUAAAGGCGGACAAAGUAAAACAGGUGCAACCCAAAGCAAUCAAUAUAAUCUUUUUAAUGUUCUGUAAGAGAAUUGGGGACUGUGGAAAUUGAUAUCAAGUAGUAUUUUUAAAGUGGCAUAUUACCCUGAGUUCUUUCAAUGUACAUCUCAUACAAUUGUGAAAGUAGAAUACUUUCUCUGAGUAGCUUUUCCUUUGCUACUCAGAUACAUAACUCAUAUGUCAAUGUUAGGGAGUUGUGGACCAGCAGUUAAGAGUAGGAAACUAUUUAAUUCUUCUAAUGAACCUUAUCCGUUCACGCCUGAAUGGAACAGUCACCGUAGAUGAAUGGCUAGAAGUUCUCCGUGAUGUGUUUUUGCUUAUCAUGUUUUUUGCAUUGGGUUGUUAGAAAUUCAAAAUCUUGAUUAAAUGUUUGUUUAGUUUGCUAAUGAAGUUCAUUUCUUGUUGUGUAUGGUUGAUCUUCUAGUUUUUAUUUUUGAAAAGUGCUCAUUUCUGAAUGUGCUAUUUUUUGGUAUAAAAGAUUGGUUAUUUGAGUUGAAAGUCUUUCGGAAAUAGCUUCUCAUACCCAAUAAGGUAGAGGUAAGGUAUGCAUACACUCUACCCUCUUAAGACAUGAUUUAUGGAAGUAUAGUGAGUGUGUUGUUACAUCUGCAGAAAACAGUCGUGGAAUCUGUUACAUCUGUAUGUUGUUGUUUACUUAUUAGGUUGAUCGAUCAAAUUUUUUGUGAUCAUAUCUUGAUGUAUUUUUCAUGUUGUUGAUUGUUGUCAGAUCGUUUGUUUUCAGGUAAUGAAUGUCUUCUAUUUCAGAUGUGUACUCAUUGGCUUUUGCUGUACUUCUGUUCAUCUGAUUUAAGCUUAAACGAAUGAGAUCCUAAGGUCUGUAAUACCAUACAUUAUCAAUUCCCAAAUUAAGAUUUAUUUAACAGAGAGUUGCAAUGAGUUUUUCUGCCCUUAUAUAGUAAAAGGGCUCGCGUGCUUUUCUAGAGAUAAACUUCUUAAAGUUGACAGCGAGGGGCGUUGUCUGAUCACCAAUCAUGAUAAUUUUGGUGAGUACAUGAUAUUAAAGAAAACAACAGGGAUGUACGAUUCUUAAUAGGAAUACAAAUCGCUGUCCAAACUUUUUUUCUUCUUAAUGUUUAAGUUGGCUAAGGUUUUUGAUUCACCCCAAUUCGUGUAUAUGAGGUUGCAACUUCCUACACGAUGUUCAACAUGACAAAAGUUAGUAUUUUAUCUUGAUCUUUAGCUUGUGCACGUGCAGAAACUUUAGACCAGAUUUUAUUUAAUAUAGCUUACACAGUUUGUUGUCCCUUUAAGUUGACCAAUAACACCUUAUUUGUGGUAGAACGGCUUGUUUGAAUCAUGGUUACAGAGAUAUCGAAUAAGCUAUACUAAAGCACCUGUAUGUAAAGAGCAAUGGUCAGUGUUUUGGGUAGAUCUAUCCAGUUAUUUUGUUAGUUUUUCUAAUAGUCUUAAUAAUCCUACAUGAUUAAGAAAAGGUCAAAAAGAAUCCUAUUACUGAAAAAUGUUAGUAUCUUGCUUGUGACUUAUUUGUGUAUGCAGAAGUAACCAAGGAUGGCAUAAUUUAUGUUGGUGAAAUAGAAUGCAUGGUGAGUUAUUUUUCAUACAUCUUAUUGAUAUUUGUCUAGACUCUAGUUAGUACUUGACAGCAUGUUUAAAAUGACAACUUUUGUGAACUAUUUAGGCUCAUUUUGUUUUUCAAACCUAAUCUCUUUUGUUUGUAUUGAUGUUUUGUUUUGUUUACCUGUUGUGCAAUAUACACAUGACCAUGCCUGAGAGUUGUGACACAGUUGUUAAUGUUUGGAAGGCCAACUGUACAUUAAUAUAUUUAGUUGGACAUUAAUAAAAGUAAUAACCCAUUAGUAAAUUUCUUGCAGUAUUUGUAUUCUUUAUUGUGGUUAAGAUUCAAUUUUCAGCUUUCUUAAAGCUUUGUCUGUUUUUAUUGAUAUUCAACUGGAAUAAUCUUUCCAGGUUGAUGAUGACGUUCAGAGGUAUAAAGAACUUUUGGAGGCAAUCAGAAGAUGACCAUCCGAGGUUGGUAAUACUGUUGCCAGUCUUUGUAAAAAUUUUACAAAAGAGUUUUUUGUUCAUCUUAAUACUGUUUUGUAAUUCAUUAUAAUGAUCUAGCAGAACAAAAUGAAAAAUAUACCUCCUAUCUGAAUUUUUUUUCUUAUUUUUGGUUCAAUUUACUGAUAAUAUCCAUGUAAAUGGUUAAGACUAUAAUCAUGUAUUCAGACAAUAGUAGAGACUUUAUGGUGGAUGACAAAAUUGAUAUUUUCUGUUUCAGGAAUGUGAAAUGUCAUCAAUUUAUACUGAUAGUUGUCGGACAAAGUUACAUAAAAAAUACAAACAUCAAUACAGUUAUUCAAAUUUUACAUUACCAUCAGGUAAUUUAAGAAACAGAAAAACAAAUUGUUUUACACUUGAUGAACCUAACAACCGAUCCUUGGUCGUUCUCUUGCAUUGAUGACACAUAUUGGAUCCAAUAUUUUUCUCCUGUAAUGUUUCAUUGAAAAAAAGAUUAUAAUCAAAAUGAAUAACAUUAAAUGAACAUAUAUAAAGUGUAAGUAAUGAGAUGAUAAAGAUUUUAUUACAUUCUCAACCAUCCUCCGUCAGUUGGGGUGCUGCAGUGCAUUAAUAUGCAGAGAUCUUUUUCAUAUUCUGAAUCAACCACAUUAAAAUCAACAAUUGUAUAUAUAUCUCCAAAAUACACUGAGUAUCAGACCAAAUUUUGAAAAAAUUCUUUAUACACUACAUUUGUAGCUUCAUUUGUUAUCUGCCCAUCUUCAUCAUAAACCAAUAUUUUUAAUCCCUUUCUACUUGUCACUCUGGAAAGAGCUACAUACAGUUGUCCAUGUGUAAAUACUGGCUUUUUCAAAAAUAAUCCCACAUGAGAUAGAGAUUGUCCUUGACUUUUAUUAAUUGUCAUGACAAAAGACACAGUAAUUGAAAAUUGUCUUUUUUGAAACUUAAAUGGAAUUCUUGCAUCAGAUGGUGUUAAAGUCAUUCUUGGAAUAAACACUUUCUGUCCAACCAUCUGUCCAGAUAAAACUUUGGCUUCAAUUACCUUAUUUUCAAGUUUAGUAACAAUCAACCUUGUUCCAUUGCACAAUCCUGCUGACUGAUCAAUAUUUCUCAAUAACAUCACUGGAAUCCCAACCUUUAAAGUGAUAGCAUGAUUUGGAACUCCGAAAUAUUUAAUAGUAUUCAAAAAUUCUAGUGUAUGUAUAUGGUCCAAAGCUGAAUAAGUAUGAUCAGAGCUGCAAAUUUUAUCAGAACUCAUUUUCAGGAUUAUGAUUGAGGAAAAUCAUAUAUUGAUUGAUUGAUUCCACCAUAUCAAGAGUUGGAGCAAAAAUGGCUCUUUGUUGUAGGUAUUCUAGAUCAUUGCAACGAUUGAUGAAAUCUGGAUACGUACUUUCCACAAUAGCUGAUAUUGGAUUAAUAGACUCUUUUAUUCCAGCGAAGCUGGGGUGAGGGCGCGUAGGUCAGGCCAGGAGUGGUCCCCCCUCCCCGACACCUACGGAGUAGGUAUGAACCGGGUUGUCCCUUUUAUCAUUUGGUAUGGGAACUUUUUCUAUUCUAUCAAAUAAACUUCCAAUCCUACCAUCACCAACAGCCAAAAUCCAAUUCAAAAAAUCUCUCAAUUCAUCCAGAUGUGUACCUAUCUCAUUACCUUGUAGUCUCAUAUUCUUUGUUAGUCUCAAUAGUUGACAGUGAGGCCAUAAAUAUGAAGAAUUGAGAGUUGCAUUAACAAUAUCUUGCCUAGUACCUUUUGGGAUGACAGGUAAUAUUUGUCUGAAGUCUCUUCCUAAAACAAUAGUUUUACCACCAAAUGGUCUUUGCGAAUUUGAUGAAUCUUUGAAGCUAAGAAUAUCUCUUAAUAUUUUAUCAAGAGCUUCAAAAUAAUAUCUAUGCAUCAUUGGUGCCUCAUCCCAGAUAAUCAACUUUGUCUUGAUAAUUAAAUUCGCUAAAGGAGUACCUUGCUGGAUACUACAUGUUGAGUCUUCAGUUAUAUUUAGUGGAAUUACAAAUCUUGAAUAGGCUGUUCUUCUACUUGGUAACAAAAGUGAUGCAAUUCCUCUAGAUGCAAACUGUUAGCACAAUAUCUCCUUUAGAUCUUAUGAAAGUAGACAAAAUCUUCCAAAUAAAAGUUUUUUCUGUUAGAUCAAAUCCGUAUAAAAAAAAUCCACCUUUAUUUUCAUUCACGGAUGCUAUUAUCUUUUUUUACACUGACUUUUGCUCAUUUGCCAAUUUCUCAAUCAAUUAUUGAUGUUCCAAUGCUAAAGCAUGCCUAUUGUAACGCAUUUCAUCACAUAUAAAUCUGUUGUUGUUGUCAAUUUUCUUCAUCAUUAUAAAUAGACAUCUCCAUUGUUGGAAAAUCAAGAAAACCCUUUCCACAACCUUAUAAAAAAUUUUCUAUUUUUUGCAAGCAACGAUUUUUCAAAUCAUCAUCAGUCAGGUUAGCUUCUGCGAAAACAUAAAAACAUGUUAAAAUUAAGUACAGUAAAGAUAAAUUGUGGUUAAAAAUAGUCAAUGAAAGAUGUGAUCGAUGAAAUCAUAAUUAAAUAAUGCAUAAGUAUGUGUUAUCAUAUGUAAUUAAAUCUAAGUUAAUGAAAUAAAAUAUUCUUUAUAUGAGUAUUUUAAAAACUAAAAGCAUUAUAUAAGUAUCUGGGUUAUCUAAAACUCUUCUUUCUUCAGGAAGAAUAUCUUCUGAUAGUAAAUGCCAUGUUGCUCGCCAAACAAUCUCAGGACGUGACAUUGAAUUCGAUAAAAGUAGCAUAGCAAAUAACUGUCGUAAAUAUGAUGGCAUUCCCCAAUUACUUGCCUCUACUAUCGCAUCCACAUAUUCUUUGCCAUCGUCUAAUAAACCUAAAGCAUAACACGCAUCUCUGAAAGUCUUGUGAACAUAGUUGUUGGUGUUUCUAAGAUCCUCAUAAGAUGUUGGACCUUUAAUUACAUUCAACAAUAAUCUAAGGUAAUAUUGCUCACCGGAUCCUGGUGGAACAAAGAAAAUUCUGUCAAUGGAAAAGGUAGAAGUUUUUCUUUUUUUUCAUUUUUUUGAUUCUUGCUUCCAUACAUACUUUAGAGGGAAUUCUGCAUACUUUAGCUGUCUUGCUUCAGGAAAUUCUUUAUUAGCCUCAAACCACUUUAAAAACAUUGAUUUUUUUCCGUUGACCACUGUAUCAAUCGGAUCAUCAUCUGUAAAAAUGAUAUUUUGAUUGCCAUCUAGAUGAAAAGAUAACCUUUCUACAGGUAGUUCUCUAUGAUGGAUUGGGAAAUUAAAAAUUCUCCAAGCUACUUCACAUGGUGAUAUGUAUCGACAAUUACAAUACAUAUUUAUUUCAUCAACAAUUCUUGAGUCAUCAAUAUUCUCACUUUGUGAAAAUGCAACCGUGACACGAUCAUGUCCUUUAUUAACAUACUUAAAUAAGCAUUUAAUGGACCUUGAUUGAUUGCACCAUUCAACAUUAAUAUAUGCACCAUAUUUCAAUAAUAGAAAUCUAUUGUGUGGUACAACAUAUCUGUUAUCCAAAUCAAUACCUUCUCUAGUAGUAGAUCUACCAUCAUCCCUUCUUUUAUAGAUUGGAUAUCCUUCUUCAUCAAUCGAAGUAGAUUCAACAAACUUUUUUGGAAAAUGCUUUGUACAUUUGCCAUUUUGCAUGCAAGGAGAAGAUUUCAUUAUAGAACCACAUGGUUCGUGCAUCAUGAAAUUUGUAACAUCAACUAAUUUAUCAGGCAAUUCAGCUGAAAUAAUUUCAUCAAUAUCGGCAUCAUUUGAAUAUUUUUUAUGGAGAAACAGUAGGAUAUGUGCAUGAGGCAAUCCCCGCUUUUGAAAUUCAAUCGUAUAAAUCACUGGAUAAAAUGAUAUAUUAGAUAAAUAUUUAUAUUUUUAUGUUGAUAAUUAAAAUAAUAACUUACUAAUAAUAAAAAAAGUUAAUGUAAUUAUUGAGAUACAACAUAAAGUUUAUACCUGUUUUUACUUCUCCAAAAACUUUAUUGUCUCACAAAUCUUGUAUCAACUAAUUCAAUUUGACUUUGAAAAUCCUUGUUAAAAUAUCUGAUCGAUCUUCUGGAGACAAUCCCCGACACUUAACAAAUCUAGUUACCUCUGGCUAUUUUGGAUUGUAGAUGAAGAGAUCAGGGUAUCCAGCCCAUUUACAAAUUGCCAUAGCAUCCUGAUAAUUUUGCAACAUGUAACGUGUUCCUCCAGUGAAUGAGGAAGACAAUAUAACUCUUUGUCCUUGAGAAGAUGGUUCAGUGUCUUUUGUUAAAACAACUUCUUCUAACCCUUUAUAAAAGUGAAAUCUCAACUUUUUUUGAUUAAGCCUAAUAUAAUUCAAUCUAAAAGAUUUCAUCAUUGUAAAUCCAUCAAUCAAGAAUUGCUGAAAUAAUCUUUUAGAUGAUACAAUUAUGGGAACUUCAUGCUUCCUUUCUUGAAUUUUGUAUGAGAAGUAUUCGCGAUAGCUGAUACAUUUUCUUCCGCGUGUUGAUUCUUCACAAACAUUUGAAGAAAUAUCUUCUCUGUAUCCAUCUUAACCAUAUGGUAAAAGUAGUGGAUAAUGCAAACCCAAAUGUGAUGCAUUCAAUUCAUUUAUCCUUUGAAGUUGUCCAGAUUGAGUUUCAAUAAUGAUAUCUCUGUCAAACCUUGUUGGUUCAAAAUCACCUACAACCAAUGCAGCUACUUUUGAAACUGAUGGCAAGUUGUAUCUUCUUCCAUCAAAGCCCCUUUUGCCUAUCAAUCUAAGAUGCAAAUUUGAAUUUUGAUUUUUUUGAAAUCUAUCUCUAACCAUUCUAAAAGACUUAGCUAGCGCAUUGUGUUCAUCUAGCAUUUUCUUCACAUCAUUGACGAUUUCAGAAUGUAUUUUUUGUUGCUUUCACCAUGACUGGGGAAAUUUUUUUAAUCAAAGUACAGUAAAAUUGUGAUUAUUUUUAAAAUAUAGUUAAAUAUUUUACUAAGCAAUAACUUACCUGAUAGCAUGUAUUCUAUUGUUCACCUCAUUUUUCGUAUCAUAAAUAUAUAAUUGUGCAAAUUUUGGAACAAAUCCCUCAAUAAGCAAUAAGCUUCCUAUUUUAUGAUAAUUCUUCCCAGAGAAUUUGAAUGUUCUUGGUACUUUUGUUUGGUUGAUAGAUGUAUCGACUUUUCCUCCCAUUGAUGUAAAAGUAAACAAGGAAUUAUAAGUUCAAAUAUUCUCUUUGAAAUAGUUGCUGUUUUUUCCUGCAUAAAAUUUGAGUUUGUUAAAAUUAAUACAUGAAUAUGUUAUGAUGUUGCUGUAUUUAAAUUAUAAAUGAAUAUAUGUACCUGAUCCAAGCAAUAAUUCCUUUAGCGCAGAAGGAGGUUCUUUUGAAUUUGACAGUUUAAUCUUUCCAUUACCACAACACAAAGUAAAUACUGGCUUUUAUUUUUAUACUUCUUCUCAAUUCUUUCUUCGUACUAGAAGUAAGCUCCGCAGUAUUCACAUUCACAAGUAGGAUCUCCUAUGUCCCAAUAAUCUAAUAUUGCCGUAAUUUAAUAAAUAUAAAUUCAGUAAUCAUAAGCAAUAUUCUAGCCUUAUAUAUGUAAAUAUAAUAAGAAAUAUACUGACCUUCAUUGUUAGUUGUCCAAUCUUCGUUUACAUCCACUACAAAUAAUGAAAAUAAAAUAAUAAAUAUAUAAUCUAUUGUAUUAAAUUAAUUAAUAAAGUAUAACGAUAUGAAUUGCUGUUGGGUACCAUUCUAUAUACCUUCAAACAUAUCUUCAUCUACAUAUUCAUCAUGAGUUUGUUGGUUUGAGAGCAAAUGGCCUUCAUACAUGAAUAUUCGAAUUAAAUGAUGAUGUUAUAUGUAAAAGAUUGACUUAUUAUUGUGUUCUUUUAAUGAAAUACCUGAUAUAUCACCAUAUUACCUAUUUAAAUAAGUUGAAUAAGUAUUCUCAUCCACCAACAAUCCUUUACCCUUAGAAUGCUUUGUAGUUGAAGAUAAAUUGGUCACGAAAUCUGUCAUAUACAAAUUAACAUUGAAUGUUGUAGUUGACAUACCAAUCCUAUAUAAUGUCGUUGUGAAGCAAAGUGUUUGAUACAUAUAUUUUCAUGUAAAUGUAUUAAAUCUGUAAUUUUUAUGAAUAAAUACGCCUUUACAUUUCUGUUGAUUUAUAUAUGAAGUAUAAAUACUUUGAAAACAUGAAAACAUAAAUGUGUCUUUACAUUCAAAUAUUAUGUAUAUUAAACUUUAUAUUUUUUUCAAAAUUGAGAAAGUAUCUAAUAGUACGGUAAAAGAAUAUAUGUAUCAGAGAAGUUUUGAAGAAGCAAUGUAAAAUGUAUGAAAAAAUACAAAGGAAUAAAGUUCAUGCCAUUGUUAUCUGAAGAAUAUUUUCCUCAUUUUUUAUUCUUCCUUAAGCAUAUUCUGUUUUUUCUUGCAAGUUUCUUUUGAUCUUCCAUGAUAAAGUGAGUUUUUUGCUUUAUUUUUUAAGACGGGUUUGUAAUACUGAAAAAUAAUAGCAGUUGAAUGCAGUUGAGUAUAUUCAAAUUUUAAUUUUUUAAUUGUUUAACUAUUCUUUUAAUUUAUCAACAGUUACAUGAAGUUUUAUUUAAUGACAUACAGGUCCUAAUGUUUUCAGACACAAAGACAUACAGUAUAUUUCAUCGAAACUGAAGUAAGUUUUGUAUUAUCCCUUGCAAGAUUCUACUUGAUUUAUCUGAAUUUGUGUGCAUAUGUUAUGUUUAUUUUUUUUAAUUAAUUUCUACGAAGCGCAUAUUCAAUAAGUGAAUUGCGUCAUCAAUGUGCAGCAAAAUUUGCAAUGAGCUGUCACACCGAGCUCUGGUUCAGUUAGCAAGCAAAUUCAACAGCCUGUCAUCUUGUUUAAUUUUUUCAUCUACUGAAUCUUGAUAUUUAAUAAUCAGUCUUUUUUAUUAUUUCUACAACUUUGUUGUUGUAUCGAUUUGAGUCUGGUUGUUGACUUGCCAAUUUAAUUUGGGCUUUUUGAACUGGGCACAACAACAACACAUGUGUAAUGGGAUUACUCAAAAGCAUUAAAAUCAUCCUUACGGUUUUAAAUCAAUUUUGUUUGUUAAGUGAUUUAUUAUAAAUAGUUUUAUAAUUUUCGCAAUGAUUGCCUCUAAAGCUUCAUUAAAUGUGUUUUCCGAAAGAAUGAUGACUGAUAUAGCUUAUCAAUUAACUGUAACGAUCGAAAUAAAUUUUCUAUAUUUAUUGAGUUUUAAACAGACAUAAAUGUAUGUGGACAGAUAUCUGCAUCUCCAAGACUUCAUAAAUUUCACUUUAGUAUCUGAUGCCGUAUUUAAUGUAUGUGAAUGUUGUUGCUGCAGUUUAUUAAAAAGCAUUUUGUGUUCUGAAUCUGUUCUUCUGAAUUAUGUUUUAGGGGCCUAAUCAAAAGCAAAAAUAGUUAGCAACCUGGGAAGCAGAUCUGCAAAGGAGAGAAACGAUUCUUUUUCUUUUUAUUUUUAAAAGUUGUUUGCUAUGUGCAUUGCUGCAAAGUACACUUUUUUCUGUGAUUUUUGAUCAGCUACUGCUGCGGGGAUGCAAAUAUCAAAAAGUUUAGUUAGUAGUUUUUUUGGCUAAACUAUUUACUACAGCUUCCUCAAUUCGUGUAGUGUUUUCUUAGUCUAUAUUUAUCCAAAUUCAGUUUGAGGCUCGUGAAUGCUUUUCAAAAUUCUUUGCUUUAGCUAAAUGCGUUGUUAUGAGUUUUUUGAUACGUAGUUUAUUCUACUUCAUAUUUUCUUCAAUUUAGUUUAAGGAAGAUUCAUGAUUCAUAUUUAGUACCAGUUUAACAGGCUAUUGAACAAGGAGAAGAUGAUGUUGAUGGCGGUAAGAAAUGACUUCAGUUAGUUUCAGAUUGUAAUUAAAUCGACUUAUUUUCUCUUUAGCAUGCUGAUGUAAUUAUUUUUAUGAUUCAAUUCCUGCUGGAGUGCCAACUGAUGAUAGGAAUUGCCCUUCGUUUUUUACGAUUAUUCAUCCUGAUAUAGCAAAUGUAUACCAGCUCAUUCUCAGCGGCUGCAUCUUUGGCUUUUGCAAGCUUGUUAGGUAGUGUUUUCACUUAUUUUUUAUAUUUUCUAAAUGAAGAAUGUUUCUUUGAAUAUAAAUAAUAAAUUGUUUCAAUGCAAGGAGUACCUUUUGUAAAGAUGUUAUCCAAUCUAUGUUUUUGGGAAUGGAUGGCCUAUUUUUUUGUACUGCAGGCUCCACGUUGAUGAAAUUUUACGCGUUGAUUUAAAAAUAGUAUAGAAGAGAAACUGAUGGGAUAAACAUACUACUAUGUUUUACACUGCUGCCAUUUGUGAUUAGAGUCAAAAGGUUUUAGACUUUUCGUUUCCACACUGGGAUAGAUGACUUUCUGAUUUAUGGACUAUGAUACUUCAGUCAACAACUGUCUUAUCUCUCACAAAUGUUACUCAUUUUUUCAAUGGCUAUAUUAGGCAUCUUGUAUUUCAUAAUUAACUUGUUCAGGAAUUUUGGUAACUACGAAAAGGCUAUGGAUACAUCUAAUCCUUGAUGAAUGAGAUGUAAUUUGCCUCAUUAUAUUGGGCAAGUCUUGAUUAUUUAUGCAGUAGAUUCUACAAUUAUAUCAAAUAGAGAAAUGGCUCCUGGUAGAGAGCUUAUCAAGGUAUGUGAGUUGGUUGAAUUAAAUGAGACACUUAGCUUGUUGACCUUGCACCUAUAGCACCUUCCCCUAAAAAUGCAAACGUGUCACAUUGUCUGCAUUUUUAUUUGUGUAUAUAUUGGAUUUGCACUAUAUUAUCCUACGUAAUGGUGUGUAAUUAUACUUUUUCAAACUGGAACAGUCAGCGUAAAUGGAUGGCUAGAAUUUGCAGCAGCAGCACAAACAGUUGUUCUAUUUAAGGAACUGUCUCGAAGUGUUCAUGAUAUUCAAUGCAAGGAGCUUAUUUGUUAUUUGUAAUCCGCAGGUGGGUGUUUUAUCUUAUACUUAACAUAUAGUACCAUAUUUUUUUAAUAUUUGAAGCACUUUUUGCAACUAUAACAUUUCAGAUACUAACCAAAGCUUUAAUAGUUUCAAUAGUUAAAAUAUUUAUGUUCAAUUUUUGUAGAGAAGUUAUCAUUAUUAUGGAAGUACAUAUUCAUCACGAGCAUCUUGGUGGAUAGAGUUAAAUGGUCUCCGUAUUUGGUGGGAGAUAGCAGAUAUCCUAUGAAAUUAAUAGAGGUGCAUGCAAGGUGGCCUAGUUAUAGAACAAAGUCAUUAAUAAUACUAUUUUAGAACGGAACUAAAUGGGUUAGUUCCUUAGUAAUACAUGACCAAAUUGACCAUACCAUCAUUUGAUAUCCACGUCAUGACAUUAUAAUUUUAGCAGUGUUCGCAGUGAGAUUUCACUCGUGGGAAGCUUAAAGCCUAUAAUUGUCUAUUAGUGUUGCUCUCCUUUGUCCUUGUUAUUUUAAGUUUUAUUUGCUUGCAUAUGAACAGAUACCAGAGGAGGCAAGUAAUGGUAUGUAAUUAUACUUUUUCAAACUGAAACAGUCAACGUAAAUGGAUGGCUAGAAAUAUGCAGCACAAGCACAAACAGUUGUCCUAUUUAAGGAACUGUGGCCAAGUCUUCAUGAUAUUUAAUGCAAGGAGCUUAUUUGUAAUUUGCAGGUACAUGUAUUAUCUUAUACUUAAACAGAUAGUACCGCAUUUUUCAAAUUUUUCAUAUUAUUUAUCAAUCUCACUCUCAUUUUUAUUGUGAAUACAUACACCAUCUAUCUAUAUAUAAAAACAUAUUUUUCAUUACUUUGUUCAAACAUCUAAUAUAGUUAUUCAUAACUGAUUGUAAACAGUACAUAAAACCUACGUUAUAGUAUGAAAAAAAUAAACUGAAACUAAACUUGAAGAAAAGUUAAUAUAGUCGACCAUGUAGUUCCCACAUCAUAUUUUUUUUUCCUUUUUAAUCACUUUGCGAAGCUUGCUGUUGACUUGUUUGUCAUUACACUUAUCAUCAAAUUCCUGCAUAGGUAAUUUCCCCAUAGAUUUACUUCUCUUGAAAGUUUGUUUUUCUGUCAUAUCAACACUGACACUGACUUCUGUGAGGGAUGAUCCACAACCCGAGAGAUUGUUCUUGAUGAAAGUCUGUAAAAAUUGCACAGUGUAAAGUUGUGUAAAGUAAAAUUUUAAGAAUAAUAAUAUGAGUAUACAUUUAACAAAAAAAAUUUUCUUAAAUUUCUUUCUAAUAUAUUAUGUUAAAGAUAAAACAACAAUUUUAGUAAUUAUGAUUUUAUUAAAUUGUUUAAAUGUUAAUAUUGCAGAGGACAUAAUUAACAGGAUGCAAUUAUAUGAUGAAGUUACACAAAUUCAUUAUAAAAGGUAUGUAAUUGUUUCAACUCAAAUUUAUAAUAUUUGUAUAAAAGAAUUAGGAUGAUAGACUCAUAAAUGUAACUUAUAAUUACCUCGAAAAGCUCAUCUCCUCCAUAGUUUUGUGCACCUUCAAAAAGGGAUCCUAAUACAUACAAUAAAGUCAUCAAUAAAGUUUGUUUUAUGAUUUCUGUAUAAAUUAUGUCAACUGUAUAAGAUUUUUUUAUUAGUAACACUUACAGUGUAUAUUAAUGAAGGAUGACUGUAUUCCUUGAAAAGAACAUCAUCAUCAACAAACUUAACAACUUUGUAGACUUCAUCAUGUUUUGUUAUAUUUGAUUCCUUAAACAUGAGCUUUCUCUCAAUAAUAUCAUCCAACUCACUUGGAUAUGAACAUUCAUCAUCGGAAAUUAAUCCUUCCUUUGAUUCUUUUGCUGAUUUUCCUAUAAGUUGCACAACCUCGCGGUUCCAAAGUAGUAAACUUAUAAGACCAGUUCCAUUCAUUACAUGAACUUGUAGCAUAUACCUGUAAUUCAGUUUUUUAUCUUUAUAAAAUAUUUUAUUUGUUAGAUAAAUAAUUUGAUAUAGGAUUGUAAGAAAUUGUGAACAACUUGUGCUUCUGCAUUACAUUUUGAGCAAAAAUAUGAGUUUUCAUCAGAUUCAACCUUUAUGAGACACUUGUUGCAAGCCAAAUAUAACCAUCCAUGUUCAAGAUCCAAACAUACAAAUUUUGCAGCAAUCCAAUAGGUAGCUUCCUGUUUAUGAAAAACAGUUUUGUUAAUAAUUAUUCUAAUAAAUCGUGUAAAGUUGGUAUGAACUUAAAAAUUUAUUCAACUCACUUCAAUGCAUUGGCUUAGAUCACUGAUAUAUUUAAAAGGUACAAUUCCUUUGAAUAACUCAUCAGUGACAGAAUAACUAUAUUGAGAACUUGUCUGACUAAGUCGUUCAUAGUUAGAAUCGCAUGCUGCAUUUAAUCUGAGUAAAAAAUAUUAUAAUUUAAUUUAUAUAAUAUAUAAGAAAUUUAAUUGAUCAAUGUUUUUUAAAAUAGGUGGUGACAAACCUGGAUUUAAACGCAAUAGAUUGUGGUAGAGAUGGAUUUAUCCAUAGCUUAAUUUGAUACCAACAGCUACGAACAGAAUAAACAUCUGUAGAAAUAAUAUUUUAUAAUUUGAAUAAUAAUAGUUCUUUUUGAUAAAUAUAAUUUUCAGUACAGUUUUAAUUAGUUAUACCUCUAAAUUUUUGAGCCUUCAUUAAUUGAAGAACCACAAUCAAAGGUUCAUCGGUAGGUACAAUCAAAUGAGGUUGAAUUUGAUCCACAAGUUCCCCCAUAAAGUUGUUGAAAGCCUACUCCUCCUGUACAAUAUGUUAUGCAAUUAGUGCGUAAAUGAUGUUUUAUUUUCGAAUGUUUUCUUUUUUUUUGCAAUUUGUACUGUGAAAUGAAAAAGAACUUACUUUUCAUCUUUCAAUACAAUAUUUAUAAAGACACUAUUAUUGUUUUCUUGAUGGCAGGUCUGAACUGAUUCAUAUGUGACAACCUGUCCAACGACAUCUAUAAAUAUAAUAGUUAGUGAACCUGAAAAAACAUAUUCUUAAUAAAUUGUUAAGUGAGUUGAAAGAGUAAUUACCAAAAAGUUCUGUGUCAUUAAUAUUAUGUUGAAUUGUCAGUUGGUCAAAUGGACGUAAAUUAAAUAUAUCCAUAUCAAAUGGCGGAUCAACAAUUUUCUCAACAAAAGUCAUUUUGAUAAAAAUCAACCUGUGUUUGUGUGUAGUAGUCUUAAAUUUUUUUGAAUUUGAUGUAACUACAAAGUAGUUCAUGCGAUAUAACUCGAGUUCUUGUAUCUUGUUUCAGAAAAAUUUUAUAUCGUGCUUACCAAUCGACGCAUGUAUACGAUCACCCUAAAUUAACAAUGAAAAUUAUUAUGAUUGAAUUAAUUCAAAACGUUAAAAAAUCAAUGAAAACAGUAAACUUAAAAGGAAAAGAAAACAAUACAAACCUUUGCAUCUUGUAAAAUCAUAUUCAUUGAUUAGGGUAUUUCAGGUUUGAAUUUAUCCGGCACUUGCCACGGCCGAACAACUCUUACUUUUAAAUAAAUUCCAUUGCAUUGAGUUGCUUGUAAUUUGGGAAAUAUUAUGAAAAUGUAGAGCCAUUUCUGUAUUUGUUAAUUUUUUCCUGUAAGAAGAAUAAAAUCAAUGCACAGAAAGUUGAGAUAUAUUAAAAAGAGGCGUAAAUGAAAAACUGUUUUAAAGUAAUGGGAGUGUUGUGGGAAACUAUCAUGAAAUUGUGUUUAACAGUUACUCAGAUUUGUUUUUUAAAGACAGAUUUUUAUUAUUUUCAAAAAUAAUAAAUGUUGAUUUGUUUAACAGUUACUCAGAUAUGUUUUUUAAAUAUAAUUUUUUAUUAUUUUUAAAAAUAAUAAAUGUUGAUUUGUUUAACAGUUACUAAGAUAUGUUUUUUAAAGUUAAUUUUUUUAUUAUUUUUAAUUUUCAAAAAUAAUAAAUGCUGAUUUUUAAGUAGUAGGAGUGUUCUGGAAACUUCUUUUUCAAAUGAUUAAAAUGUAUUAUUGGUAAUUUGUGGCAGUUUUAAUGUAUUUAAAAAUUGUAAUUUUAAGUUUAAUUUUUAUUAAAAGAAAAAUACUGAUGACAGUUGUGUAGUGGGAAUAUUGUGGGAAACUUGUAUAUAUUAUCGUGACGUUGACAAUUAGUCAGAUUUAAUUUUCAUAGCUGUAAUUUGAAUUUAAAUUUUUAAAUAAAAAUAAUGAAGACAUUUAAGCUAUAUUUAAAUUUGUAAUUUUUAUUUAAUUUUUUUAAAAAAUUAAUGAGGAUUUUUCUUCUGAGGACACCUGUCCUUUUUGUUUCUGUUUUUAUAUAUAGAUAGAUUAGAUUAUUUGGAAAAAAUAUCACUGUCAGCAAUUGAUUGUUAGUUUGUCAUGUGCUUUUACCUUUAUUUUUUAAAAUUUAAUUGUGUAUAUAUUAAUGAGGUGGAUAAUUAAAAUGAGUUUACAUAAUUUAAUUGGCCAAUUAAUUCACGUAAGAAUCGAUUGUAGCCCCGCGCAUGAGGGUUUACAACAGUAGAUGCAAAAAGUGUCAAAAUGACACACUUGAAUACUAGUUGAGGUGUCAAAAACGAACACCAUUUAGUUUAGGUGUCAAAGUAAAAGUUCAUACCAAAUUUAAGUGUAUUUUGUGCCAAAUGUCAAAAUGAAAGUGCGUGUCAAGUUGAGGUGUUUGUCGAUGUAUUUGGCCAAUAACUUAUAUAGCUCAUAUUUUAAUUUUCGAUUGAUGUAUUCCAUACAUAAUAUCAGUUAUGGAUAUAUUUUGAAAGAACAUUUAUUUAUUUUUCAUUCUCCUACUAAACAAUGAUUCAUUGCUGGUCUUAUUAACCAGACAUCUUUCGUCAUGGAUUGCUCGAUUCUUGAACAUAUCAAUUGAGGGGAAUUAUAUUCUAAAAAAUCUAUCAUAUUGAGUUUUCUUUCAUCGCAAUUUUCAGAUUGUAAUAUUCUAUAUACUUUAACAUAGUCCGUUUUGCUAUACUACUUUGUUACAAGUAGUACAGUUAUUAUCAAUGUGUAUUUUUUGUGUUUUAGUAUCAAUAUGAUCUUAGCUUUUGAGAUCAUUCUUAAUUGUUAGUGCGACGGCGAGUUAUUCUAUUCCUCUUUAAGUACACCAUUCAACAGAUUCAUACCACAAAUGCUAUUACUAGAUUAAGGAGAGCUGAAAAUUAGAGAAAGGAAAAAGAUACGCAAAGAUGUAAAAAAUAAAGGGAGAAGGACAAAAAUAUCACUUUGUGUAAAAUAAUGCCACUGAAUUUGAAAUUUCUCUUUUUAGCCUUUUUAAUUUUUUUGGCCUGACAACAAGUCUUUUACCUUUUCGGCUAUUCCUUUUGUUUCUUCUUUUAAAAAAAAAAAAAAAAAAAACUUUUUUAUUGAAUUAUCUUUUAAAACAAAAAUCACUAGUCUUUUUCAUCUUUUUUUUUUUUCUUUUUCGCAACUCUGUUUUUAAAAGAAAAAAAGCUUUUUGUCACUAAUUUGCUUUUUUUUUUCCUCUUUUAUUUCAAAGAACAAUUGAUUUAUUUUUUCAAAAUUCUAUCAAAACAAAAAUUAAUCAUAAAAAUUGGAUUAUUAUUGUAUAAAAGACCAUUUUUUCAAAUACAUAAAUACAUAUUCUAUACAAAUAAUGAUACAACUUAUAUACACAUUUUAACAAUAAUUGUAUAGUUUCUAUACACAUUUUAUACACUACUUAGGUAAAAUAAUAAUUUAGAUACAAACUCUAUACAAUAUUUAUGCAGUUUAUAUACAUCCAAUAGAUAUACAUAUUCUAUACAACAAUGAUACAAAUUCUAUACAGAUCAUAGAUAGAAAAUAUAUUCUAUAUAAUACAGUUUUUAUACACAUCAUAUACAAACCUUAAAUGUAUAUUUUUUAUACAAUUUUUAUACACAUCAUAUACAAACCUUAAAUAUGCAGUUUUUAUACACAUCAUAUACAAACCUUAAAUAUACAAAUUUUAUACAGUUUUUAUACACAUCAUAUACAAACCUUCAUUUCUCUGAAAUCUCCAUAGAUAAUCAAUCCUAUGCAACCUCGAAUCGUAAAACACAUUUUUUUUCAAAAACAAUCCAUUUCCUUCAAAUUUCUUCGCCACAUACCUAUCCACUAUUACUUUAGCUUCAACACAAUAGUCCUUUUCUUCCAUCCCGAUCAACCUCUAGGUUUUGCAUAUUUUUUCUUCUUUCAUUCCUCUAUCUCAUUUUUCAUCCACCCACAUAAUUCACAAACUCAAUUCAAUUUAGAUAACGUAAAUAGAAAAAAAUUAAGAAUUAGAAGAAAAAAAAAGAUGAGUUUUGUUGAGUUCUUAAUAGAAAAUUUUAAAACUAGAAGAAAUUUCUGAUUGGAGAAAGAAGAGAAAGAAGAAUGGCUAUGAAAUUAGAAAAAAUCAUCAAAAUCAUCGUCAUUAACAAUGAAAUUAGGAUCAAAGGUAACACCUUUAGCAGCCAAUUUUGAAUCCAUAUAUGCCUUUUUUCCUCUUUUGAUCCCAACGCUUCUUGAUGUUUAACUUACACUUGGAAAAUCUUUUGUUUUCAACUGUCAAAAAUAUACGCUGAUAACAUUAGUACUAUUUGCUUGUUAGGUGCAUUAAUAUUGAUUGUGUAAGGAACGUUGAAGACCAAUGAAAAUAAUGAUAAAAGGCACGAUAUUGGAAAAUAAAUCUUUAUAGAAAAAUUAACUUUUAAAACCUCCUGUGUCAAUGUUGUACAGUUCCUGUAAGAGAAACAAUUAAACAUCUUUUUUCAACAGGUGAAGUGGCAGUCUUUAUUCGGGAGUACUAUGCUAGGGCUGCUGGUUUAUUAGGUCCUUGGGUCCAGGUUAAGCAAACAAUGAAGAAAUGGUGGGAUACUCAAGGUAAUCUCAGAUUGAAAUCGGUUUAUCAAGCAAUUCCUAGUAUUAUUAUCUGGUUUCUUUGGAAGAGGAGAAAUACAGUCCUUCAUGGAGGUUCUUAUUUCAGAAAUAAGGUUAUAUGGGAUAUUAAUGCUACCAUCCAUAACUUUAUUACGACAAAGUUCCUUACACAACUUGUCCUAAUACUUGGCCUCAAACGGUGGCAUUUCCGGAAAAUUUCAGACCCAUUUUUGACAGCAAAGUGGUUAGAUGGAGACCUCCCCCUAGUGGUUGGUUAGAAUGUUAUACUGAUGGUACAUCUAGAGGAAAUCCAGGUCCAAGUGCUGCAGCUUUUUGCUUAAGAAAUUGUGAAGGGAUUCUAAUAGGAGCUAAGGGUUUUCAAAUUGCUGAUACUACUAAUCUGGUGGCUGAAGCUAGAGCUAUAAGAGAAGGUCUUCAAUACCGUCGAGAUAAGCAUCUUUCUAACAUAAUUUUGGAAACUGACUCUUUGGCCAUGGUUAACAUCAUUAAGGUGUGUGGGAAAUUCAUUGGAGUGUUUCAAUGGAGGUCAAUACUAUUAGAAGGAUCACAAGUGUUAUUACAGUAAAAGCACAACACUCCCUAAGGGAGGAAAAUACUUUUGCUGAUUUUUUUGCUAACCUAGUUUUUAGUUUUGCAAGUUCAUUUGAAUUCAAUUCAUUUCAUGAAGUUCCAAGUGCUGGGAAGAGAAUUAUUAAUCUUGAUAGAUGUAACACUCCUAUCGUCAGAAUCAGACAGGUUACCUCACCGUUCAAGUGAAAUUAAGAGUUACAAAUCUCAAUUAAGGAGUUACUAAAGAGCAAUCCUACAGUAUAAUUAACUGAUUUACACAUGACGUAUUUAGUGAUUUAUCUAUUUGAUAUUAAAUUAAGUCUGAAGUAAUUUCAUAUGGUUGACAGUACCUACACCUGGUGAGAGCAUUUGAGGUGUUCAUGAGGUACUAAACCAGGACUUAAUUAUUCAAACAAUUGGUCACUUAAACCAAGCUUGUCCAUUUUCAGAUAUAAGUUUAGUUAAACACAACCUUUCGAAAAGGUUUCAGUUGAGUAUUUACGUUUUUAAUGGUGGUAUCAAUCCCUUUUGGGGUUCAACCCAUUGAAGAAUAGAUAUGGAUAUUGAAAAUUUCGAAUAAGUUUCAGUGUUGUACCUGGCCUUGAAAGAGUGAGUGAUAUACAUUGUACACAGAUACUCCAGAAGUGGUUGAUUUGACUGGUAAAUUUUCCCUACUGUCUCUGAAGCACCAAAAUUGUUAGCAGAAUUGGUGAUAUCGUCCUUUGGUCUACAUCUCCAAUGGUGGUAUAAAUCUUAUUUGAGAUACAACCCAUCCAAUAGACAACGGAAAGAUAUACAAUUAAAAAGUCAUAAAAGGGUUACCUUGGUCCUUGCAAUCGACCUCAAGUUCGCUGCCAUCGUCGUCAAGGUGACCGGAGUUCAUGCAGUGACCAUUCAGAUGCUUCAGCCAUUUUCCAUUUUGGACUUUUCUUUGAUUAAUUAUCUUAUCAUUUGUCAUUUGUGUGUUUUUUUUUUUUUGGGGGGAAAUGACAGAAACUUGCACUUCAAAUUAAACUAUUUCCUUGAAAAUGAUCAUGGAAUUUAAAUUUCACUUUCUAAUUAUUUUAAUUUACUAAUUGGUUUUAUACCCUUUUUACACAACUUUUAUACAGGUUUUAUACAAAUCUUAUACAUAAAUAUUCUAUACGGAAAUUAUACAGUUUUGAUACAUAAUUUAUAUAAUAACUGUACAUCUGCACUUCAAAUUAAACUAUUUCCUUGAAAAUGGCCAUGGAAUUUAAAUUCAACUUUCUAGCCAUUUUAAUUUACUGACUGUUCUUUAUCGUUUUCACACAACUUUUAUACAAGUUUUAUACAAAUCUUAUACAUAAAUAUUCUAUAUGAAAAUUAUACAGUUUUGAUACAUAAUUUAUAUAAUAACUGUACUUUUUUACACGUUUUAUACAACAAUUGUAUAAUUUGUAUACACUUUCUAUAUAUUGUAUAUAUACAUAUUUGAUAGAAUUAUACAAUUUCUAUACAUAUAUCUUAUAUAGAUUCAUAUUCUAUUUAAUAAUUAUAUCGUUUUUAUAUAAUUUAAUUAUUAUUUCUAAAGAAUAAAAAAAAGCAGAAUAUUUGAUCAAUUUAAAAAUUUAUAGUAAAAAAAAAUUAAAAUAUUUUUAAAGGGCCGAAUUGCCCAAGUUGAAUAUUGUAUUAGUAUUGUAUAUAGAUUGUAUCAGUAUCAUAUAUGGACUGUAUAUAGACUACGUGGAUCAAAAUGAUCCAAAUUGGAAAAGAUUAAGAAAUGAUCAUAAAAUGACAUUUGUUUAGCCGACUGAACAUUAUUUAUCCAAAUGCCAAACUUGGACUAUUAUUUUUUAAAAAGGUCCUAGAGUGUCUUUUUUUUUUUUUUUAAUUGUUUUACUUGGAGGAGCUGGACCAGGACACUUUUGGGCCUGGUCGGUGUACUUUUUAUUACUUUUAUAAUAUAGGCUAUGUGCCCAAUUUUAAUUAAAAAAAAAAUAUGUGUUUGACAAUGAGAAUUUCAAAUACAAUUUGGACUUGUAUUUGGAAAAGUAAAAACAAGUAAAACUUAUUUUCACUUUUUUGACUCUUACUUUUCUCACAAAAUUUCAAAAAUAUCUCUAAUUUAUAUUUAUAGUUAAACACAAUUCCAACUGCCUUAGUAUUUAGGACUUCUGCAAUGUCCAUAUUUAAUAAUUAAUAAUAGUUUUGAAAGCUUAUUAACUGAUGUGAGAAACACAUGCAAAGUAGGUAUACUAAACUAGUUUUAAACAAGACUUUAUAUUAGUAGCCUCACAUUUGAGUCACCUCUCUUUUCACGCAGCCCAUAAGUCUACCUUUCUGGUCAAACACCUCCUUCCUUAUGGCUUGUGAAUGCUCUGUUUCCUUCCCCACCGUUCGCUAUGCUCUUUUUCCAUCUGCCUUCUUUUUCUUCAACUACGUAAUGAAGUAACGAUUGUUGGUGUUGUCACAUACACUCAAAAAUAUGUCAAGGCUCCUUGUCCUCGUAAAGGAAAUGGGAAGAAAUUUGAUGAUGAUGAACGGCCAUUGUGGUUAAUGAAGCUUAUAAGUAGAGAUUGAAAAGAAUAUAUAAUAUUACUCAUUAGGAACCCUAAAACCCUAGCCCUAGCGAUCGUGUGGAAAAUUGAACAACUUUAGAGUGUGUUUGGUACGAUGAAAAAUAUUUUUCAUGAAAAAUGUUUACCUGGAAAAUAAGUUGAUUUUCUACUUAUUUUCUUGUGGUUGGUGAGUGAAAAAUAUUUUAUAGUUUUUGAUUGGUGAAUAGAAAAUAUUUUUCAGAAAUAUAUUUUCUAGUGUUUGGUUGGUGAGUGAAAAAAUAUUUUUUAAAAAAUACUACUAACUGUUAACUAGUAUAUCAUUGCUUGAACUAAUUUAAGCAUAACAAAUAACAUCAAUAUCGAGUAUUAAGAUAUUACAAGUCACUAAAUUUUAAACAACUACUAAUUAGCAAGCAUAUGAGACAUUUUUCAACAUUUUGUCUAGACAAUCUCAAGAUACUACAAUCAAUAGAAAUAUAAUUGAACGACAAGCUUAUUCAACCUUGUAAAACAAGUUACAACGAUGAUAAAAUGGAAUAUGUAAUUAACAAAAGUAACAUAGGUAAGUCUUCCUCUAUGCACAUGGAAAAAUUCGGAUUUCACUAUUUUUUAUUUUAAGCAGUGAAACAUUGAAGCUAAAGCACAGUGAAAAAUGUUUCUGAGUAAUGUGAAUUUAAGUGUUGUUGGGGUUGGGGAUGGGAGCAUAAAAGUUACAUCUGUCAUUUUCCCUCAAAUAAAGAAAAAUGAGUCAUUUUGAAAAAUAUUUUUCCAAUAUUUUAUUACAACUAAAUAAAAAAAAAUAAGAAAAUAUUUUCCAUCAUAUCAAACACGCCCUUAAAGUGAAAAAGUGAUGAGAUGUUCAAAUUUAAAGGGUUACUAAUAUUAUAUUGUACACGUCUUGUAAACCUUAUUUUAAUAAAAUUAAAUUCUUAUUUUUACUAUCGUUGAAAAGUUCUUAUAAAUAUUCAUAGUGAUAACGUAUUAUAAAAUUAUCUAAGUAACAAAGAAUAAGGAAUGAAGUAAUAGGGUACUGUAUUCACCUCUUUGUUUCUUUAAGAAACCAAGGGAGUAACUAAUAGUCAAAGUACAACCUUAUCUACAUUAGUGGAUAAUGAUUUGGACACAUAGCAUCCAAUUUCAUAACAACUACUACAUAUUGUCCAGCCUAAAUCUAAAAAAAGCUGAACCAAUAGCAAAAAUCCCCAAAUCUAGAGCUCCUUAUAGUUCCAACAAUGGCAGAGAAAAUCACCAGUCUCAAAAGCACAAGGUAUACGUACGUACAAAUAUAAUUCCGUAAUUGUUUUUUCUAUCUAUUUUCUUCGAUGAAGUUCUAGGCAAGUACUAUGUGAUUUGAUUAAAAUGAUGAUUAACUGAUUUACUAUAACAGAUCAAAAAUUAGGUCAAUAUUGUAAAAAGAAAAAAAAACUAUAGUAUCAGUACAUAAUUCUUUUUUUGGGUAUAUGACUAUAUUGUAUGACCAGGUAUGCAGUGGUGAGUGGGGGAAACAAAGGGAUAGGAUAUGAAACAUGCAGACAAUUAGCAAGCAAAGGUGUAGUGGUUGUGUUGACAUCAAGAGAUGAAAAGAAAGGCAUUGAAGCUAUUGAAAGGCUCAAAGAGGAGUCAAACUUUACUGAUGAACAGAUUUUGUUUCAUCAACUUGAUGUUAUGGAUCCAACUAGUAUUUCUUCUCUUGUGAACUUCAUCAAAACCAAAUUUGGAAGGCUUGAUAUUUUGGUAAGUACUGUUUAUCACUCCAUCCAAUCUGUUCCUUUUUCGCUUGAAGAUUUCGGCAGAACUCAAUAACAUGAAUAAAUUUAUAUUUUUCAUUUAUGUUGAAUAAUUUCACAUACAUAAAUAAUCCAGAAAUUUAAAGUAAUAAGAAUAAAUUAAAAUCCGUAACUUCAAUUAUGAAAAUGACAGUUUUUUUUUUUAAACACAGUAUAUAAUUGUCAAUUCGAUCGAUCCCAUAUAUUAGUCUCUUUGUUUUCUUUUAAACAACUCAGUAAUUAUAAUUUUACUGAUGAUAUAUUAAUAAUCAUAACAUUAAAAUACAUAUUUAAACUGAGAUAGUACAUAGAGGAGUACUUAUAUAUCUCUCUAUAUAAAAACAAAACUAAAACAAGACAAGAUGUCAAGGGUCAACAUAUUAAAAUAGUCACGUGGUAGUUUUUAGGAUAAAAUUAAAAAAUAUUUUAAAGCAAAUUUAAAAAUAUUAUAAUAAAAAUUUUGAAUUGAAAGAUAAAGUAUUUGAAUUUGAAAUAUAUUAUCUUAAUAACUACAAACUCAUAAUUGAAGAGUUCUAACAGACUAUUACUAUUUUAAAUUUAUCUUUUUUUAUAAUUUAAAUAUUAUAUAUAUAUAUAUUGUUGGGUUCAUAGUAGAUGAAAGAAGUGUGAAUGAAAAAAUUCUAUACUAUCUUAUUAUUUUAGAUACAAUUUCUCAUAUUGUUUGGAGAAAUAAGAAAUUGCGAAUUAAUUUUUUGCAGGUUAACAACGCAGGAAUUUCUGGAGUUAUGGUAGAAGGAGAUGUACUAAAAGAGAUAAUAGAAAGACAUAUCUCAAUCACUUUUACUGAAAAUGAAAAUGGAGUAAGAUAUAUAACCAAUUCUUGUAUGUUGUCAAUAAAAAGAAAUAUGGAGGCGAUCUCUUUGUCAAUAAUUUAAUUUCUACAUAUAUGCAUUUCAAAGAAUUAAAUACAAUAGCAACAAUUUUUAUUACUAUUAAAUAAUUAUGCAGGAAGAGGGAGGUAGGACGAAAUCAUAUCCUGGCAUUGUUACAAAUUAUGAGUUGACAAAACAAUGCCUAGAGACAAACUAUUAUGGUGCAAAAAGGAUGACUGAAGCAUUUAUCCCCCUCCUUCAACUCUCUAAUUCACCAAGGAUUGUUAACGUCGCUUCUAUCUUGGGAAAGUUAAAAGGUAAAUAUACUUUCUGUUUUGUCGAGCUCUACAUACAUUCAAUUUGAUCGUUAAAGGUUAGUAAUCUUUGUUUUAACCAACUUAUAUACUAGUAUGUGAAUUCUUGUAAUCUGAUCAAUUCUUGUGCAGCUAUUGUGCAACAAAUGGGCAAUAGAAGUGCUAAGUGAUGCUAAUACACUGACAGAAGAAAAGGUAGAUCAAGUGGUGGAUGAAUUUCUCAAAGAUUUCACAGAGAAAUCAACAGAAUCCAAAGGAUGGCCAAGUUACCUCACAGCUUACAAAGUCUCAAAAGCAUCUUUGAUUGCCUACACAAGAGUUUUAGCUACCAAAUAUCCGAAUUUUCGAAUAAACUCUGUAUGUCCUGGCUAUUGCAAAACGGACGUGAACGUCAAUACUGGAUACUUAACUGCUGGAGA
rnacentral:lncRNA from 1 species